UACGGGGGGGGCAAGCGUUGUUCGGAAUUACUGGGCGUAAAGGGCUCGUAGGCGGCCCUCUCAGUCGGAUGUGAAAUCCCCAGGCUUAACCUGGGAACGGCAUCCGAUACUGGAGGGCUUGAAUUCGGGAGAGGGAUGCAGAAUUCCAGGUGUAGCGGUGAAAUGCGUAGAUAUCGGGAGGAACACCUGUGGCGAAAGCGGCGCACUGGACCACAACUGACGCUGAGGCGCGAAAGCUAGGGGAGCAAACAGG
rnacentral:rRNA from 1 species